rnacentral:rRNA from 1 species
GAUCAUGGCUCAGGAUGAACGCUAGCGGCAGGCUUAAUACAUGCAAGUCGUGGGGUAGCAGGUUUGUAGCAAUACAGAUGCUGGCGACCGGCAAACGGGUGCGGAACACGUACAGAACCUUCCUUUGAGCGGGGAAUAGCCCAGAGAAAUUUGGAUUAAUACCCCAUAGUAUAAUGAAGUGGCAUCACUUUAUUAGUAAAGAUUUAUCACUCGAAGAUGGCUGUGCGGCUGAUUAGGUAGUUGGCGGGGUAAAGGCCCACCAAGCCUGCGAUCAGUAACUGGUGUGAGAGCACGACCAGUCACACGGGCACUGAGACACGGGCCCGACUCCUACGGGAGGCAGCAGUAAGGAAUAUUGGUCAAUGGAGGCAACUCUGAACCAGCCAUGCCGCGUGGAGGAUGAAGGUCCUCUGGAUUGUAAACUUCUUUUAUAUGGGACGAAAAAGGCUUUCUAAGCCGUCUGACGGUACCAUAUGAAUAAGCACCGGCUAACUCCGUG